GCUGCAGAGAUCCUAACAUUAAGGUUCCCAUUUGGAACCUGAAGGCCAAGCACCUCCAGGCCCAGCCUGAGACUCAAGACUUUGCCCGCCAUGUCCAUUUCUCAUCUUUUGUUUGUGUCUGGCUCACCACUCAGUGAUAAAGAACCCUGGAGGGUGGAACUGCAGCUCACCCAUCGCGGGAUCAGGCUACCAGCAGAUGUGACAGCCAUGAUGUAGGCUAUGAGGAUCCCCCCAGCCCCCAGGAGCUUCAACAUGGGUGGGAAUCGGUCCAGAAGAUGUUGCGGCCAAGAUGGUCAACGGCAAUACCUUCUGGGCUUCCCAGAUCUAGAACCAAAGAUGGAACUUCUGGGAUUGUUUUCUUCUAAGCAGCAGCAAGAUUCACCACAGCCAGAAGGAGGCAGCAACCCAAGCGUCCAUCGACAGAAGAGCAGAUAAUGAAAAUGUGCCUCAGCUCCUGCUCCAGCAGAAAACAGGCUUAGACAACAAGACGACACACACAAUCGGAAUUUUAGGCUCUGCCUCCAAAUGUUCAUCUGUGACUGAACCCACACAGGCAGACACAGUGACAUUAAGUGGAUGAGCUGCCAAUCAAUGUUUAACGUGCCUUCGGUCUAGGCUGCCAGUCUUUAGGUUGGCCGGCUCAACACAACUGCUCCCUUGAUUAGAAGCAGGUUGCUUGCCGAGAAUGUGUGUGGAACCUGGCAAGAAGAAACUGCUUUUCUUUUGUACCAGAGGCUACUAUAAAAAAAACAAAAU